rnacentral:lncRNA from 1 species
UUUUUUUUUUUUUUUUUUUUUUUUAGGUUGCCUUGGCUGCUUGGAGUGAGACAAGUUUCUUUCUGUGGUGGUGGAUUGUAGCAGGAAAAAAAAAAAAACAUGCAUGACUGGGAGACUCGCCUGCCUGAUUCUUACGAUAAUAUAUUGAGAAUCUGUUGCUUUACAAAUGUCACACCACUGAUGUAGCGGUCAGCCCCUCACGCUGAAAGAUGAAUGGUACUAUUGGAAAUGCGAUAAUAAGGUUGACUUUUCCCAACAAUAGGAUUCAGCCUUUGUCUUUAGAGAAAAGGCCUCUGAGGACAUUUGUGCGUUUGUUUGAGGAUUCCUUUGAAAGACUUUAGAGUGGAGGGUUUUUUUUUUUUGCAGAAGUGAUCAAUAUACAAAGCGCGUGCAUUUUUUUUUUUAUCCUAGGAAGACCAGGUAAUUGUUUAUGAUAUAAUGUAUAGUUACUAUUUUGGAAACAUGGCCGGAAUGUUUUUAAAUAUACCUAAUGUUAAUUUAGGGCUCAAAGAGUAUACCGUGAUUAAUAUGGAUGAGAAAAAAAGAGGUGCUAAAAAUUUCACCUUCUAUGACCUGCAUAGAAAUAUCAGGUAAAUAUUUUCUUCCAAGAGAGCUGUUUUUAUAUACGUAAUUGUCAGAAUUGUGUCAAUAUAUUCCUCCAAUAUUUUGAUAUUGGUGAGAUACAGACAGGAUGACUUUGGCUGUCAAUUUGGGACACAUAGACCUAUAUCCUAUAUGUGAACAUCAAGCUGUUUGGAGCAUUGAACCUGGGAAUUCAUCCUUAGAGUGCAGUGCAGCAAGUGCUACGGCUCCAGUGUGGCUCACAGGACUCACCACGCAGGUGCUAAGGAAAUCGUUUUUAAAGUUUCCUUCCUUCACUGUUGUUCUACCUGAAGGGCGCAGCUCCAGUGAAGCUUCAUGUUUCUGCUCCUUCUUCAUCCACCUUUAUUUCUAAAUGCUGGAUUUAUUUAAAUGUAACCACAAGGAUUUACAUCAUGUGCCUGAUACAUUGUUCCAUGGUAUAUCUGUAUUUUCAUAGAGUGUGUAUAUGUUUAUUGCCUGUGUUCAUGAAGCUAUGCUUUGAAAAGAAUUGUUUUGACCUUUAAAAAUGAAGGGUUGUAGCUUUCUUUUUUAGCAAUUUUUCACCAACUCAUUUACACUUAGACUCUGAAGUCCAGAAAUAUAACUUAGUUUGACCUGUGGUUCCACUAUUCCUACUCUAGCCCACUGUCAACUUCAGGCAAAAAUUAAACACUACAUGGACUAUUUUUUUUUUUACCUCUGUGCAUUUAUUGGAAAAGUUUAUUAAACUGUGAAGUUUAUUAAAUACAUAGGGUGUUACCCUUCUUCAUAGGUAUGAGGCAAAGGGUCUCAGGUAAGCCACUUAAAAAUGCAGGCCCAAAACAUCCUGUGGGUAGUUUUGCAAGUGUAGUGAUACAGAGGCUAUGAAAUGUGUCGUAUAAGCAUACAGUCUAUAUACACCACCUCAUACUUGCUAAUUGUCCCUUUGUACCUCUUGUAAGAAAGCAGGGGCUGGGGAAAGAAGCGAAGGGAGAGGCAAAAUACCUCCUGUUCAGCUGAGCAAAAGGAGUGGUCUGCACACGUAAUAAACAUGAGGCUCUUUAAUUUCCGAAUCAUAUUUUACCCUCACCACAGUAGGGAAAGCAAAAGUGAGUAUAUUUUUUUUAAAUGCAGAGCAUGCCCCUAAGUUGGAAAAUAAAUUCAUUUAAAUAAAUCAUUCACCCUUCUCUGUCGUAGAAAGCUCACAUAGAAGACAGAAAGGUAGAAGCUGACAGUGGCCCUCCUCCUUCCCCCAGCUUUUCUUUCCUUCCUUUCUUCCUUCCUUUCUUUCUUUCUUUCUUUCUUUCUUUCUUUCUUUCUUUCUUUCUUAAACUCUUAGGAAAUAGUUUUUAAGGCAAAGUUGUGAACCCAAUUCACUCAACAAGCUUAAUCCCAAACUUGAAUGCUUUUGAAAUGUUGGUCAUGUUAGCUG